rnacentral:rRNA from 1 species
GUGCCAGCACCCGCGGCUAAUACAGAGGGUGCGAGCGUAACUCGAAUUUACUGGAUCGAAAGCGUGCGUAGGCGGCUUCUUAAGUCGGAUGUGAAAUCCCUGAGCUUAACUUAGGAAUUGCAUUCGAUACUGGGAAGCUAGAGUAUGGGAGAGGAUGGUAGAAUUCCAGGUGUAGCGGUGAAAUGCGUAGAGAUCUGGAAGAAUACCGAUGGCGAAGGCAGCCAUCUGGCCUAAAUACUGACGCUGAGGUACGAAAGCAUGGGGAGCAAACAGGAUUAGAUACCCUGGUAGUCC